UUCUCGUUAGAUCACCGAAGUUAAGCAUCAUUGGGCGCGGUCAGUACUUGGUUGGGUGACCACCUGAGAACACUGCGUGCCGUU